GACGAACGCUGGCGGCGUGCCUAACACAUGCAAGUCGAACGGAGUUAAGACUUCGGUUUUAACUUAGUGGCGAACGGGUGAGUAACGCGUGAGGAACCUGCCUCUCAGUGGGGGACAACAGUUGGAAACGACUGCUAAUACCGCAUAAUGUUUCUGGACCGCAUGAUCUGGAAACCAAAGCUUUAUGUGCUGAGAGAUGGCCUCGCGUCUGAUUAGCUAGUUGGCGGGGUAACGGCCCACCAAGGCGACGAUCAGUAGCCGGUCUGAGAGGAUGAACGGCCACAUUGGGACUGAGAUACGGCCCAGACUCCUACGGGAGGCAGCAGUGGGGAAUAUUGGGCAAUGGGGGAAACCCUGACCCAGCAACGCCGCGUGAAGGAAGAAGGCCUUCGGGUU
rnacentral:rRNA from 1 species